rnacentral:rRNA from 1 species
GAUCCUGCUCAGGAUGAACGCUAGCUACAGGCUUAACACAUGCAAGUCGAGGGGCAGCAUCAUCAAAGCAUGCUUUGAUGGAUGGCGACCGGCGCACGGGUGAGUAACACGUAUCCAACCUGCCGACAACACUGGGAUAGCCUUUCGAAAGAAAGAUUAAUACCGGAUGGCAUAAUUAUUCCGCAUGGGAUAAUUAUUAAAGAAUUUCGGUUGUCGAUGGGGAUGCGUU